GAAACAGCUUGCUGUUUCGCUGACGAGUGGCGGACGGGUGAGUAAUGUCUGGGAAACUGCCCGAUGGAGGGGGAUAACUACUGGAAACGGUAGCUAAUACCGCAUAACGUCGCAAGACCAAAGAGGGGGACCUUCGGGCCUCUUGCUAUCGGAUGUGCCCAGAUGGGAUUAGCUAGUAGGUGGGGUAACGGCUCACCUAGGCGACGAUCCCUAGCUGGUCUGAGAGGAUGACCAGCCACACUGGAACUGAGACACGGUCCAGACUCCUACGGGAGGCAGCAGUGGGGAAUAUUGCACAAUGGGCGCAAGCCUGAUGCAGCCAUGCCGCGUGUAUGAAGAAGGCCUUCGGGUUGUAAAGUACUUUCAGCGGGGAGGAAGGGAGUAAAGUUAAUACCUUUGCUCAUUGACGUUACCCGCAGAAGAAGCACCGGCUAACUCCGUGCCAGCAGCCGCGGUAAUACGGAGGGUGCAAGCGUUAAUCGGAAUUACUGGGCGUAAAGCGCACGCAGGCGGUUUGUUAAGUCAGAUGUGAAAUCCCCGGGCUCAACCUGGGAACUGCAUCUGAUACUGGCAAGCUUGAGUCUCGUAGAGGGGGGUAGAAUUCCAGGUGUAGCGGUGAAAUGCGUAGAGAUCUGGAGGAAUACCGGUGGCGAAGGCGGCCCCCUGGACGAAGACUGACGCUCAGGUGCGAAAGCGUGGGGAGCAAACAGGAUU
rnacentral:rRNA from 1 species